rnacentral:rRNA from 1 species
GACGAACGCUUUCUUCUUUCUUAACACAUGCAAGUCGAGCGGAAAGGCCCUUCGGGGUACUCGAGCGGCGAACGGGUGAGUAACACGUGAGUAACCUGCCCCAGACUUUGGGAUAACCCUCGGAAACGGGGGCUAAUACCGGAUACGACACAGCUUCGCAUGGGGUCUGUGUGGAAAGUUUUUCGGUUUGGGAUGGGCUCGCGGCCUAUCAGCUUGUUGGUGGGGUGAUGGCCUACCAAGGCGACGACGGGUAGCCGGCCUGAGAGGGCGACCGGCCACACUGGGACUGAGACACGGCCCAGACUCCUACGGGAGGCAGCAGUGGGGAAUAUUGCACAAUGGGCGGAAGCCUGAUGCAGCGACGCCGCGUGAGGGAUGACGGCCUUCGGGUUGUAAACCUCUUUCAGCAGGGACGAAGCGUAAGUGACGGUACCUGCAGAAGAAGCGCCGGCCAACUACGUG